GACGAACGCUGGCGGCGUGCUUAACACAUGCAAGUCGAACGGAAAGGCCCUGCUUUUGUGGGGUGCUCGAGUGGCGAACGGGUGAGUAACACGUGAGUAACCUGCCCUUGACUUUGGGAUAACUUCAGGAAACUGGGGCUAAUACCGGAUAGGAGCUCCUGCUGCAUGGUGGGGGUGGGAAAGUUGCGGCGGUUGGGGAUGGACUCGCGGCUUAUCAGCUUGUUGGUGGGGUAGUGGCUUACCAAGGCUUUGACGGGUAGCCGGCCUGAGAGGGUGACCGGCCACAUUGGGACUGGGAUGCGGGCCAGAGUCCAACGGGAGGAAGCAGUGGGGAAUAUUGCAAAAUGGGCGGAAGCCGGAUGCAGCAACGCCGCGUGGGGGAUGACGGCCUGCGGGGUGGAAACCGCGUGCGCCUGUGACGAAGCGUGAGUGACGGUAAUGGGUAAAGAAGCACCGGCUAACUACGUG
rnacentral:rRNA from 1 species